rnacentral:rRNA from 1 species
CCUACGGGUGGCAGCAGUGAGGAAUAUUGGUCAAUGGACGAGAGUCUGAACCAGCCAAGUAGCGUGAAGGAUGACUGCCCUAUGGGUUGUAAACUUCUUUUAUAAAGGAAUAAAACGAGGCACGUGUGCCCUUUUGCAUGUACUUUAUGAAUAAGGAUCGGCUAACUCCGUGCCAGCAGCCGCGGUAAUACGGAGGAUACGAGCGUUAUCCGGAUUUAUUGGGUUUAAAGGGAGCGUAGAUGGGUUGUUAAGUCAGUUGUGAAAGUUUGCGGCUCAACCGUAAAAGUGCAAUUGAUACUGGCAGUCUGGAGUACGGUGGAGGUAGGCGGAAUUCGUGGUGUAGCGGUGAAAUGCUUAGAUAUCACGAAGAACCCCGAUUGCGAAGGCAGCUUACUAACCUGUGACUGACAUUGAUGCACGAAAGUGUGGGUAUCAAACAGGAUUAGAUACCCCUGUAGUC